rnacentral:rRNA from 1 species
GCAAGCGUUAAUCGGAAUUACUGGGCGUAAAGCGUGCGUAGGCGGUCUUUUAAGUCCGAUGUGAAAGCCCUGGGCUCAACCUGGGAAUGGCACUGGAUACUGGAAGGCUAGAGUACGGUAGAGGAGGGUGGAAUUCCCGGUGUAGCGGUGAAAUGCGCAGAUAUCAGGAGGAACACCGGUGGCGAAGGCGGUUCUCUGGGCAUUACCUGACGCUGAGGAGCGAAAGUGUGGGGAGCGAACAGG